AUUGUGCGUGAGGGAUGGCAGUGGAGCUCUUUUUAUAGGUGGUCUCGUUUUUUUGAACGAGACUACCUAUAAAAAAGCGGGAACGUACAGCCCGACCAGCU
rnacentral:sRNA from 1 species